UUAAGCAAUAUAUUAUGUGAUUAUCCUAAUUAUGUUCAUCUCAAAUUUAUUUUUGGGUGAAGUAGGAGUCUAAAUUAUUUUUUCCAAUUAUCUAAACAAAAAUUUUUAAGUAAAGUAUCUGUUUCUUACUGAUUUUUAUAUAGUGAUGGUUAAUAUUGAGUGUCAACUUGAUUGGAUUGGACAAUGCAAAGUAUGGUUCCUGGGUGUGUCUGUGAGGAGAUUAACAUUUGAAUCAGUAGACAGGAGAGGCAGACCCACCCUCAAUCUGGGUGGGCACCAUCUAAUCAGCUGCCAGCAUAAAAGCAGGCAUGGAAAGAGCAGACUGGUUGAGUCGUCUGGCCUCCAUCUUUCUCCUAUGCUGGAUGCUUCCUGCCCUCGAACAUCGGACUCCCAAGUUUUUCGGUUUUUGGACUCUUGUACAUACACCAGUGGUUUGUCAAGGGCUCUUAGGCCUUUGGCCACAGACUGAAAGCUGCACUUUCAGCUUACUACUUUCCAGGUUUUAGGACUCAGACUGGCUUCCUGGUUCCUCAGUUUGCAGAUGGCCUAUUUUGGGACUUCACCUUGUGAUCCUAAGUGGGGAGCUGCUGUAAAGAUGUGGAUAACAGGCAGAGGCUGGAACUGUUUGGAGGGUUCAGAAGAAGAUAGAAAAAUGUGGGACACUUUGGAACUUCCUAGAGACUUGGAGUGCUCAGAAGACAGAAAGAUGUGAGAAAAUUUGGAAGUUCCUAGAGACUUGUUGAAUGGCUUUGGCCAAAAUGCUGAUAGUGAUAUGGGCAAUAAAGUCCAGGCUGAGGUGGUCUCAGAUGGAGAUGAGGAACUUGCUGGGAACUGGAGUAAAGGUCAGUCUUGCUAUGCAGAGACUGGCAGCAUUUUGCCCCUGCCCUAGAUAUCUAUGGAACUUUGAACUUGAGAGAGAUGAUUAAUGGUGUCUGGCAGAAGAAAUUGCUAAGUGGCAAAGCAUUCAAAGGGAAGCAGCACAUAAAAAUUUGGAAAAUACACAGCCUAAUGAUGUGAUAGAAAAGAAAAAUAAAUUUUGAAGAGAAAUUCAAGCUGGCUGCAGAAAUGUGCAUAAGCAAAGAGGAGCCAAAUGUUAAUCCCUAAGACAAUGGGAAAUAUGUCUCCAGGGCAUGCCAGAGGUCUUCAUGCCAGCCCCUCCCAUCACAGGCCUGGAUGUCUAGGAGGAAAAAAUAGUUUCAUGGGCUAGGCCCAGGGCCUUGCUGCUUUGUGCAGUCUCAGGACUUGGUGUUCUGUGUCCCAGCCAUGGCUAAAAGGGGCCAAUGUAGAGCUCAGGUCAUUGCUUCAGAGGGUGCAAGCCCCAAGCCUUGGUGGAUUUCACAGGAUGUUGUGCCUUCCAGUGCACAAAAACCAGGAAUUUAGGUUUAAGAACCUGUGCCUAGAUUUCAGAAGUUGUAUGGGAAUGCCUGGAUGUCCAGGCCAAAGUCUGUUACAAGGGCAGAGCCCUAAUAGAGAACCUCUGCUAGGGCAGUGCAGAAUGGAAAUGUGAGGUUGGAGCCCCCACAGUGUGCCCACUGGGGCACUGCCUACUGGAGUUGUAAGAAGAGGGUCACUGUCCUCCAGACUUCAGAAUGGUUCAGAUCCACCAAUAGCUUGCACUGUGCUCAUGGAAAAGCUGCAGACACUUAAUGCCAGCCAUGAAAGUAUCAGGAGUGGGGCUGUACCCUACAAAGCCACAGGGAUGGAGCUGCCCAAGGCCAUGGUAGCCCACCUCUUGCAUCAGCAUGACCUGGAUGUGAGACAUGGAGUCAAAGGAAAUAAUUUCAGAGCUUUACAAUUUGACUGCUCCAUUGUAUUUUGGACUUACAAGGGGCCUGUAGCCCCUUUGUUUUGGCUAAUUUCUCCUAUUUGGAAUGGGUGUAUUUACCCAAUGCCUGUACAACCAUUAUAUCUAGGAAGUAACUAACUUACUUUUCAUCUUACAGGCUCAUAGGUGGAAGGGACUUACCUUUUCUCAGAUGAGACUUUGGACUGUGGACUUUUGAGUUAAUGGUGAAAUGAAUUAAGACUUUUGGGGACUUUUGGGAAGGCAUGAUUCAUUUUGAAAUGUGAGAACAUGAGAUUUGGGAGGGGCUUGGGCAGAAUGAUAUGGUUUGGCUGUGUCCCACCUAAAUCUCACCUUGAAUUGUAAUAAUCCCCAUGUAUCAAGAGCUGGGCCAAGUGGAGAUAAAUGAAUCAUGGGGGCGGUUUCCCCAAUACUGUUCUUGUGGUAGUGAAUGAGUCUCAGAAGAUCUGAUGGUUUUAUAAAUGGGAGUUCCCCUGCACAAGCUGUCUUGCCUGCCACCAUGUAAGAUGUGCCUUUGUGUCUCCUUUGUUUUCCACCAUGAUUGUGAGGCCUCCACAGCCAUGUGGAACUGUGAGUAUAUUAAAUCUCCUUCCUUAUAAAUUA